rnacentral:rRNA from 1 species
CAAAUGCUAAUACCGUAUAAUAAUUAAAACCGCAUUGGUUUUAGUUUAAAAGAUGGUCUUGCUAUCACUAAGAGAUGGUCCCGCGGUGUAUUAGUUAGUUGGUGAGGUAAUGGCUCACCAAGACAAUGAUACAUAGCCGAGUUGAGAGACUGACCGGCCACAAUGGGACUGAGACACGGCCCAUACUCCUACGGGAGGCAGCAGUAGGGAAUCUUCCACAAUGGACGAAAGUCUGAUGGAGCAACGCCGCGUGUGUGAUGAAGGGUUUCGGCUCGUAAAACACUGUUGUAAGAGAAGAAUGACAUUGAGAGUAACUGUUCAAUGUGUGACGGUAUCUUACCAGAAAGGAACGGCUAAAUACGUG